GCGGCGGGGGCCCGCGGGGAGGCGGGAGCGCGCCCGCCGCCCCCGCCCGUCCAUCAGCACGUGCCGUGGGCGGGAGCGCCGGCGGGGUCCCGGCUGGGAAAGGUGGCCGGGAGGAACCGGCCGGGCCCGCUUCUCCUCCCCGGAAGCCCCUCCGCGGCCUGGGCCGGCUUGGCGCUGGACGCCCGGGCCCCGGCGUUAUCCUGCCUCGCCGGCCCAGCAGCGCUUUCCCCGUGAGGUGUCCCAGCAGCAGUGCAGAAGGAGCUUCAGUGACGGUGCUAUGUGCCAUGGAGGUGGCACAGCUCCCACCUGGGCUGCUGUUUUUAAUCCUUCACUCAACAGUGUGACAGCAGUUGUGCUGCUGAUGUCCUCUUGCCCUUCGCCUGUCCUGCCACUUAGUUACUCUGCAUCAAGAACUUUGCACACAAAGCCAGCUACAGGGGAAAUGAAGAUCACAUGGAUCGUACAGACCUACUCAGUUUCCCUUUGCUGCACACCAAAACACUCUCUAGGCCUUCGGGACACACCAGUAAUUGCUGGUGGGGAGAUGGCUGCCCAGAUAAACUGAGCAUAGAGAAGAACCAGUUGGGAAGCAAUCUGGCUUAUUGGUGCCAAAUAGCCACAUGUGCAUAUAUUGUGGGAAACAUGGGCUUGCUUAUUUUGUUGACCUCUCCACAGUAUAGCUCCAUUUUUGCAUGCUAAUAUCAGAUAGGACUUGUAAAUGUUGUGUACUGCACUCCAGAGUUGUCACCUCUGUAAGAUGAGAGCACGGGCUUUGCAUUCUGGCUCACGUGCAUUUCACCCACAGAUUGUUAGAUGAGCACUUCACUUCUGUAUUAUCCUACACAGAAAAACAAAAGAGGAAGUAUAACUUCAAACCUGUCACCUUCACAGACUCCUUUAAAAUGUAGGCAGGUAAAUACACACCUAAUAAUUGUAUGUGGCCAGAUACUGUGGUGAUAGGCAUUUGCAAAUGCAGGUCUUGUCUUAUUAGACUUUUAGAAAAUUUUUUCCGAUCACCAUCAUCCAGAAAAAUCUGUCAGUGUCCAAAACAAAGCCAGCCUACAAGAAAGACAAAAUCACAGUUUCCAUGCCAAGCAAUACAGAACUCCUGUGCUUAUGUUUAUAAUUUCAAAGGAAAAUAUGAGUCUGCUGUUCUUCCACUCUGUGUACUAUGAAAUUAUAGCAGAAUAGACACUCAAUAUGGAAGAAGAAUGCAACAUGUGUGUGUGCUCCCAAGCAGAACCGAAGCUGUUAGUGCUAGCAUCUCUUCAGUAAUAAUGUGUGCAAAUACAGCCCAGACCUUGUCAGAUGUUAGAUACUGAUUCCAAUCCAGGAUGCAUGAAUUUAGCAACAGGCACUAGCCUUGAAAUGGAUUUAACCUUUUUUGUGAAAUGGAUCGACUUUUUUCAUCCAGUUCCUGGUGUGUAAAUUUGCACAUUGAAGAAAUUGCUGUCUCAACCGGUACUUUUCAAGGCACUUGGGCAUUGAAGAUACCCACAAGUCCCUGUCAGGUCAGGAAUAGUGUUGCUGAGGAUAUGCUUUAGUAUUGUAUUGCUAUGGCAAUUUAAGUUUUGUAUUGCUAUGGCAAGUAAUGCCCAUCUCUACAUUAUUGAGAACUAUUAACUCCUUGUCUUAAUCACAAAAUAAAGUCGGCAAAAAUAAACUACAUUAUGUAAUAUUAGGACUGCAGGAGACCAAACUGCAUCUUAAUCUAAAAUGAUGAAUCAUAAUGACCUUUUGAAAGUAUUUAGAUUGUGAUGGACUGCUGAUGAAAUAUCACAUAGAAAAUACUGGUGUCUUUCAAAACAGUGCAGUACUUAGGUUUCAAAUAUCUCUACCAGAAUAGGUAGAGAGACCUUUUUAAACCAGAAAGUGAACACUUUAGAUGAUGGGCUCUCAGAAAGACCCAGGGCUCCAGCAAGCUAGUUAGCAGCAGCAAUCUUACUUGGUGAGGAUUUUAGGAAUCUGCAAAAACUGAGACACACCAGGUUUAGUAACACUAAGCAUUUAUUUUGUUAAUUGAGCCAUACUCAAAAAACCAAAGUCUGAAAAUCUGAAAAUAAACAUAAGUUUAUUUGACAUUUGGCCAAGAUGACAUGUGGAAGUCUAACAUGAGAUAUAGAAGAAAAAAAAAAAAAGAAAAAAAAAGGAUAGUCUUCCAGCUGCUUUCAUUGUUAUUUCCUCUCCAGGAAUUUCUUAUUAGUUCUUGGAAUCACUAGGGAACUACAAACUUGAAUAUCAAAAGAACAAAGAGGUAUAUAUAGGGAGAAGGUCAGUCAUGUGAUAGGACUUGAUCUUUGUAGAUCCUUCUUCCCUUCAGUCUCUGGAAUUCAGAUGUCUUAAAUCUGUGGUCCAAAUAUAUUUUUGAGGACUGUUUGCAAUUAGAUGAGUAUUUCUCUGUUACUGCUACAAAAAUAAAUAUUCCAUGUUACAUAUUAAAAGACUAUUACCCUUCAGCCAGGGACACAAUUAUUUCACUUAAUAUGACAUGAAUUUGGCUUUGUCUGUUUUUCAGAACUAUUUUACUUGAAAGCAUAUUCUUUUGAUUAUAAAUUUAUUCAGCUGUUUGUUGCUUACAAAAGUCGUGGAUUUUAUUACAUUUUUUUAAUAUAAGCAAAAACAAUUCAAUAAGGCAGAGUCAAAUCUGUGAAGAAAUGUGUUCAUAAAAUUUUUGCUAGUGGAUCAUUGGUAGUAAAGAGGCAAGCCAUGUCCAGCCUAGAGUCCAACCAGUCUGGUGUGGAACUGAGUCUGGGGCAGCACUGGAGAGCACUGUGGCAAUAAUCCAAGGAAUAACAGCUCAAUGAGCAGAGCAUGGGCACAAGGAAACAGAAAUGUUCCCACAGCUCAAGCACUUGGUGCGAUUUGGGCUUACUUGGGUUUCUACAGGGGAUUCUUCCUCAGCCUUGAGCAGGUGGCCAUGGAGGAAGGAGGACACAAUGGCUGUGCCUGUCCCCAGCAGCUGCAGGGUGGGAGCUGAUUCCUCACUGAACUGAUGCCUCUGCUGUGGCAAAGGGCUGCAGUAAUGGGAGCACAUUGCUCUGGGAGACAUCUUCCCAGUCAAGAACCAGAUUUCCCACUGCUUUUUCUGUUUCUUCUGCCUGUGCCUAGUUGAGCUGUAUGAUUUUGUUUUUAUGGAUUCACAUUUACAAAACCCUUGUUGCAGUCUUCUCACCAGGUCGUAAUAAACCCUGAGAUAACUCUCCUUUUAAAUACAAAUUACUUUGUUUUUCUUAAAGCCAGAGCAUUAAAAGUCUUAUCACAGAAAAAGGAAAUAUUUGUAGGCUCAGCAGACGUUUCACCAGGGUGCCUCACUCACAUCAGUUUGUUUGGAGAAUUAGUAAUGUUUUCCCUAGAUGCAUGCACAUAAAAUCCCAAAAGUCUUCAGUUGCUCAGAGAAGAUUAAGUAUUUCAACUAUAGUGCUGAUUUUAAAAUUUAUGUUCUAAUUAUCAGUCAGCGGUGCCAAAUGAUCUACAAGGAAGUUUGAAUUAUACUGAGAGAAGCUGGAUGUUUGUGUUCCUACACCUUUUGUGACAAGAGGUGUUUGUUUCUUUUACAAGUUGGAAUAAUCCUUAGAUCCAAACUCACACUGUAUUAACAGUUCCUCUGUUAAGCCUGAUGCUCAAGCUUUGUCCUGAAACAGGAGCAAUGCUGAAAGCAGAAAUGUUUUUAAAACCUGCUGUUACACAAGGCAAAUUCUUAUCAAUACAGAAAAUUUCUGUCUUGGUGCGUGUAACAGGUUUAUCCUCAGGGGGCAUGGAUUCAAGUGGAAGUGUUUCUGGCAGCUGUAGGAGGGGGUACUGUAGAGAUUUACAAAGAUGGACAUUUAUGAGACUGAAAAUUCUCUGUUCUUCCAAGCUUUUUAAAAUGAAACAGAUCUGAUCCUAUACAAAAGAAAUGAACUAAGUUCAUAUUUUUCUUAUUUUUUCUCAGUUCAAACAUAUCUUUAAACAUGAAUAAAUUGCUGUUAAAUAAAAGCAAAUGCAGCAAAA
ensembl:lncRNA